GUUUUCUCUCUGGGGUUACAAGUCUUAUUUUAGUUAUUUAGUUAAAUAAUACCCUAAAAAAAUAUAAUACAAUACAAUAUAAUAUAACAUAAUAUGUUUAUAGUUUGUUUACUUAUUCUACAUCCCCAAACCACCUCUCCCUCCUUUAUUUAUUUAUUUAUUAUUAUUAUUAUUAUUAUUAUUAUUAUUAUUAAGUACUUUAAAGUUUUUCAUAAUUCCCAAUAACCUACUUUUUACAUUUACUUUCAAUAAGGUCCGAUUUUUUUUUCUUCUUCUUCUUAUUUAUCUUUAGAAUGUUAUUUCUAAAGACAGGGUUCCUGCGUUGUGAUUGUCGUGCAGUUGUAGUGUUCCUUCUUUGUCCACACACGCAGCUGCUCAAAGGCUUUAACACGAUGUCCGAGUGGAUAAAACACGAAUAUGGUGAAUAAAAUACACGUUGUAUCAAGACUGAAGAUGUCUGAUGCGAGCGCAGCGUGAUGAUGGUGGUCACGUGACGCGCCUCUGCUGAAGGUGCGGGGUAAAGGUGGCACACAGAAAGGCACAGCGAAGAGCGCGACACUACACACUCUCCAACCGACUUCAACACGACAACACAAACAUAAUGUCUAUUAGCCGGAAAAACUGGUCUGCUUUGUCAACGCUGGCUCGACAGUGGACUGUGGAGGAUGAGGAAGAGGUGGAGAGAGAGAAGAGGAGGAAGACAAGGGAUUCUACAGCAGACUCGGAUGAAAGUCCCACUGAAGAGACCAAACCACAAACCAGUAGCGGGCCUGAUGAUUCUGAAGACUCCGGUGGCGGUCUGGCCCAGCUGCAGCUGGACUUUGUGGAGAUGCUGCGAGUCCGUGACGAACGGCGGAGGAUGAGGCACGUUGAAACCCUGAGGAAGAAUAAGGUGGAAGAUGAUGGUGGCAGAGAGGGCAGCCCAGAUAAGGAGCCCCAUGUGGAGCUGCUGGGGGAACAGCAGGACGAGGAACUCUUCAAGAGCGUGCAGCACUGCGUGGAGACCUUCAUGUCACCAGAACCUCCCACCAACUCCACAGACUCGGAGACACAGGAGAAGCAAAAAAAUGAAGACACGAACCAAGAUUCAGCAAACUCCCCAACUCCCCCAAAAGCAUCCCGAAAGUUUGUGAGCUCUCUCUCCAUCUCCUUUGAUAAGAGUCCCACAUCACCCCCAGCAACCAGCAGACUGGUUUCUCCUCUGAGCUCCAAGUCUCCGCCCCCUCAGUCUCCGAGGGCGGAGUCACCACACAGCUCCACCCACUCCGGCUCUAUGAGCCCCACACCGAAUGGAGACGCAGCGAGACAUGAAAAUGGGUCACCGAGCAAUUUCGAACCAGCUGCGAAACCUGCGUUCACACGGCAGAGCUCCAGAACGGUGUCCUUCAGGAUGAUGAAGAAGAAGGAGGAAGAAGACAUGCCGUUACAGAGAAGCGCAAGUGUGCGGAUUGCAGCGAAGACCUUUGAAUCCAAUAAGAGCUCCAACCAAGAGGAGGAGCAGCAGACCCCAUUCCAGAGAAAGUGA
ensembl:lncRNA